CAGCAGCCACGGUAAUACGAAGUGGGCUAGCGUUGCUCGGAAUCACUGGGCGUAAAGGGUGCGUAGGCGGGAUCUUAAGUCAGGGGUGAAAUCCCGAGGCUCAACCUCGGAACUGCCUUUGAUACUGGGGUCCUUGAGUCCGGAAGAGGUGAGUGGAACUGCGAGUGUAGAGGUGAAAUUCGUAGAUAUUCGCAAGAACACCGGUGGCGAAGGCGGCUCACUGGUCCGGAACUGACGCUGAGGCACGACAGCGUGGGGAGCAAACAGGAUUAGAUACCCGUGUAGUCCCUGUCUCUUAUAC
rnacentral:rRNA from 1 species